rnacentral:rRNA from 1 species
UGGAGGCAGCAGUGAGGAAUAUUGGACAAUGGGGGCAACCCUGAUCCAGCCAUGCCGCGUGAGUGAUGAAGGCCUUAGGGUUGUAAAGCUCUUUCACCGGUGAAGAUAAUGACGGUAACCGGAGAAGAAGCCCCGGCUAACUUCGUGCCAGCAGCCGCGGUAAUACGAAGGGGGCUAGCGUUGUUCGGAAUUACUGGGCGUAAAGCGCACGUAGGCGGAUAUUUAAGUCAGGGGUGAAAUCCCGGAGCUCAACUCCGGAACUGCCUUUGAUACUGGAUAUCUAGAGACCGAGAGAGGUAAGUGGAACUCCUAGUGUAGAGGUGGAAUUCGUAGAUAUUAGGAAGAACACCAGUGGCGAAGGCGGCUUACUGGCUCGGAACCGACGCUGAGGUGCGAAAGCGUGGGGAGCAAACAGGAUUAGAUACCCCGGUAGUCCU